rnacentral:rRNA from 1 species
UACGUAGGGUGCAAGCGUUAAUCGGAAUUACUGGGCGUAAAGCGUGCGCAGGCGGUUCGCUAAGACAGAUGUGAAAUCCCCGGGCUUAACCUGGGAACUGCAUUUGUGACUGCAUGGCUAGAGUACGGUAGAGGGGGAUGGAAUUCCGCGUGUAGCAGUGAAAUGCGUAGAUAUGUGGAGGAAUACCGAUGGCGAAGGCAGCCCCCUGGGAUAACACUGACGCUCAUGCACGAAAGCGUGGGGAGCAAACAGG